rfam:Candidatus Izimaplasma sp. HR1 chromosome, complete genome.
ACGAAUAAAGGCUUUAUGUCGAAGACUUAGGUGCACUAGAUGCUCAAUAUCCUAACGAGAUCAAAAGAAUAUAUAAUAUAUACCUCUUUUGUCUAUGACAUGGGAGGUUUUUAUUUAUAAAU